UGGGGAAUUUUUCGCAAUGGGGGCAACCCUGACGAAGCAAUGCCGCGUGGGUGAUGAAGUCUCUUGGGACGUAAAACCCUUUCGACAGGGAAGAAAACCGCAAGGUUUGACGGUACCUGUAGAAGAAGCCCCGGCUAACUCCGUGCCAGCAGCCGCGGUAAUACGGGGGGGGCAAGCGUUGUUCGGAAUUACUGGGCGUAAAGGGCGCGUAGGCGGCUCGCUAAGUUGGAUGUGAAAACUCUGGGCUCAACCCAGAGCCUGCAUUCAAAACUGACGAGCUCGAGUACUGGAGGGGAAAGCGGAAUUCCUGGUGUAGCGGUGAAAUGCGUAGAUAUCAGGAGGAACACCGGUGGCGAAGGCGGCUUUCUGGACAGUAACUGACGCUGAGGCGCGAAAGCUAGGGGAGCAAACAGGAUUAGAUACCCCCGUAGUCC
rnacentral:rRNA from 1 species